rnacentral:rRNA from 1 species
AUUGAACGCUGGCGGCAUGCCUUACACAUGCAAGUCGAACGGCAGCAUGAUCUAGCUUGCUAGAUUGAUGGCGAGUGGCGAACGGGUGAGUAAUACGUCGGAACGUGCCCUGUAGUGGGGGAUAACUAGUCGAAAGAUUAGCUAAUACCGCAUACGACCUGAGGGUGAAAGUGGGGGACCGCAAGGCCUCAUGCUAUAGGAGCUGCCGAUGUCUGAUUAGCUAGUUGGUGAGGUAAAGGCUCACCAAGGCGACGAUCAGUAGCUGGUCUGAGAGGACGAUCAGCCACACUGGGACUGAGACACGGCCCAGACUCCUACGGGAGGCAGCAGUGGGGAAUUUUGGACAAUGGGCGAAAGCCUGAUCCAGCAAUGCCGCGUGUGUGAAGAAGGCCUUCGGGUUGUAAAGCACUUUUGUCCGGAAAGAAAUGGCUCUGGUUAAUACCUGGGGUCGAUGACGGUACCGGAAGAAUAAGGACCGGCUAACUACGUG